rnacentral:rRNA from 1 species
UACGAAGGGAGCGAGCGUUGUUCGGAUUUACUGGGCGUAAAGGGCGCGUAGGCGGCCCUUCUGGUCGCGUGUGAAAGCCCGAGGCUCAACCUCGGAACUGCCUUCGAUACUGCGGGUCUCGAGUCCGGGAGAGGUGAGUGGAAUUCCUAGUGUAGAGGUGAAAUUCAUAGAUAUUAGGAAGAACACCAGUGGCGAAGGCGGCUCACUGGCCCGGUACUGACGCUGAGGCGCGAAAGCGUGGGGAGCAAACAGG